CGAUCGCUAGCUCAAUGGGCAGAGCAUCCGGUUUUUACCCGGAAGGUUACAGGUUCGAUGCCUGUGCGGUCGACCA
rnacentral:tRNA from 1 species